rnacentral:lncRNA from 1 species
UUUGGGGUAACUUCCAAAAUAAAGAGAUUGGUAGAGAGAAAAGAAAACAAGAGAGCAAGGAGAAAUUUGAAAGUGAAGUGAAGGGAGAAGAAAUUAUUGAAAAAGAAAUUGAGAACAUUUUUGUGGCUAUCGAAAAUGUCACCAUUCCUAAGAGUGAGAAAGCAAAAGAAGAGAUUAUCGAAAAAGAAAUUGAUAGCGUUUUUGUGGCUACUGAAAAUGUCAUCAUUCCUUUUAAUAUUGUUUAUUUU